rnacentral:lncRNA from 1 species
ACAAAACCGUGAGGAGGGCUCCGGGUACGCUCGACCCCCAAAGCGGACAAUACCUCGGAAGGAACGUGGUCCUCUUUCUCUGCUAGCUUAAUGUGGGCUAGGCUGUUGUGUGAGGCUCCGGCAGAAUGCCGUCCCCGCAACAAAUUUGAAUGAUCACAAGGCAAUCCACAACAUGCUAGAGCAUCAAGCAACUAUUUCAUACCUUUAGCAGCUUCUCGUGCUCAGAAGAAGUAGAGGCAGACUGCAUCUUUUGAUUGCAAGGCAAUCCACAACAUGCUUUGGUGUCAAAAUCAACACAACCAAAUAAAAAUGUGGCUGUGGCAGACAAGAAAUUACAAGCACAAGUGUCCUGUACUACGAUGUAAAUCUUGGUGAGCAAAUGGGCUUUGGCUAUAUAUGAUCUCGCCA